GCGCCGGUGGUGUAUCGGUAACAUUGGGUCUUCCCAGAACGACUCCAAACUCUGGCCUAGCACCGGGUUCGACUCCCGGCCGGCGCA